rnacentral:rRNA from 1 species
GGAUCGGAUAAACGCUGAAAGCAUCUAAGCGUGAAACCGACCUCAAGAUAAGAUAUCCCAUAUCGUAAGAUAGUAAGACUCCAGAAAGACGAUCUGGUUAAUAGGUCAGAGGUGUAAGCAUGGCAACAUGUUCAGCUGACUGAUACUAAUAAGUCGAGGGCUUAAUCAC